GCCCGCUGCGAAAUGGAGACCCGUCAGCAGCCCGAACAUCUGGAGGCGGGGAACUACACAGGGAGGAGGGUCCAGGAAUGUGGAAACAACUUCACCCAAAGCUGACAUGAGAGGAGGAGGGGAAGUCUGGGGAACUAAGUCGGAGGAGAACUAUGUCAGGAGCAGAGAGGCCUCAGGGAGGAAUUCCUGCAGCCUGUCUCACAAACGCCACUGAAGCCAAGAGGGUUGUGGGGAGAGGGAGCCUUGGAUAGCGGGGCUUAACUCAGGAGAAAACAGAUGAGAGGCUAACUCCACCCUGAAGCUGUCACCAACCUAUCACCGGGCAAAAGCA